GUGUUCACUUUAGCAACACAUAUGCAAAAUUUGGAGGAACGUAGAUAUUAGCAUGCCUCUGUGCAAAAAUGUCAUUCACAUCUGUAAAACAUUUCCUAGAUUU
rnacentral:snRNA from 14 species